rnacentral:rRNA from 1 species
AUGCCGAUCCGGGCUUCACUUUACGCGGAUGAUGCUGCUGUCUUUAUUGCCCCUCUCAAGGAGGACGUCAGUUUCUUCGCCGAUACUCUUAGGAGCUUUGGAGAUAUUUCUGGCCUGGUGACAAAUUGCUCCAAAAUCUUGGUGGCCCCAAUUAGCUGUGACAAUGUGGACCUUCCGGAUAUUCUUCAAUCUUUUCCGGCUCAAAGAACCACCUUCCCGAUGAAGUAUCUUGGAUUGCCAUUGUCUGUGAGGCGUUUAAAGAGAAUUCACUACCAGCCUCUAGAGGACAAGAUUGCGGCCCAUCUCACACCUUGGAUGGGAAAGCAUGUUGCAGCCCCUGGAAGGAUGGUUCUU